rnacentral:rRNA from 1 species
CCUACGGGAGGCAGCAGUGGGGAAUAUUGCGCAAUGGGCGAAAGCCUGACGCAGCGACGCCGCGUGAGGGAUGAAGGUUUUCGGAUCGUAAACCUCUGUUAGUAGGGAAGAAGAUGCAUGGGGCCAAUCACCUGUGCAUUGACGGUACCUUCAAUGGACGCACCGGCUAACUCCGUGACAGCAGUCGCGGUAAUACGGAGGGUGCGAGCGUUAAUCGGAAUGACUGGGCGUAAAGGGCACGUAGGCUGUAUGUCAAGUCCAGGGUGAAAGCCCACGGCUCAAACGUAGAACUGCCAUUGAAACUGGCAGACUUGAGUAUGGGAGAGGGAGGCGGAAUUCCUGGUGUAGGAGUGAAAUGCGUAGAUAUCAGGAGGAACAUCAGUGGCGAAGGCGGCCGCCUGGCACAAAACUGACGCUGAGGUACGAAAGCGUGGGUAGCAAACAGGAUUAGAUACCCCGGUAGUC